GGGCACUGAUCCCUCCAAUAGGAGGCUGGGGAGGAGCUCCUGCCGGAGGAGAAGGACAAAUAGAUGUUGGGUGAGGUGUAGAAGGGAGAGGAGGCCAGCCACAAUGUGGGCUUGUCCACGAUCUGCUGCUUGGAUGCAGAGGUCAGCUGAGAGCUUCCAGGUGUGCAUCCAACGACCUGCCGUAACCUGCCAGACGCUUCUGAUCGGAGGUCCCUAGACCACAGCAAAGAACCAUUCUGUAAGCCCCGACUCGAAAGGAAUCCAGCUUCUCCCCCAUGUCUCUACCUCCCCAAAGAGGGAAGAGGUGAAGAAGAAAGACACCCAAACACAUCUCUUUACAAAGCAGCUAUCACCCUGACCACUUCAGAGAGGUGGAGACGACUACUAUGAAUGCUAGCAACUUCUCUGAAGCCUUGUGAAGUAUGAGUCCAGGAAAUAAGACCCAGGAGGUCAGGGAUCCAAGCCUGUGGCCCCAUACCUUCCCCUUUUAUCAGAUGCACUGGCCACAGGCCAGCAUAGCAGGGUCAGGACCAACACACUGACCUUCUGAAUUAGCAGAGUCUAAGAGGCUCAGAAAGUGAUGGUUUUCUAGUAAAGAGAGUUCAGGAUCCUAACUAGAAGAGAAAAGAAAGGAAGAUCGCUCAUUUCCCCAGUUUUCAAGUUGUGAACUGACACCCUGUGGCCUUCUUUGCUUUGAUGGUGUGUUUUAUCAGCACUUGGCUUUGAUGUCAUUAGAAAGACGAAUGGAACACAGCCACUUACCUUGUAUUCAUGAUAAAAUGACAAACCUGUAGAAUGCACGAGGUCCAUUUGCCCAAAGCUUCAUGCUCCCAGUUAUGUGCUGUAGACCUGUGAACAGGCAGAAUUAAGGGGAGAGCUUAUAUUGAUGGCCACAGAAAGAGCCCGAGUACACUCUACACAGGUCAUAAUGGCGGCCACCUAGGAAAUGCCCUUGCUUUGAAUCAUCUCAUUCACCUUUCCACCAAAAGAGAAUUCUUCCUUUCCUAAGGCUUACCAUGUCUCUUUUGUGCAGCUCGAAAUCCUUUAGGACCAGUGUUAGGAGAAAUCAAUAGCAAUCAAUCUUUCUUUCUUUAUUCUUCAAUGAUGCUCUUCCAUAG